UACGUAGGGGGCAAGCGUUGUCCGGAAUUAUUGGGCGUAAAGAGCGCGUAGGCGGUCCGAUAAGUCGGCUGUGAAAGUCAAGGGCUCAACCCUUGAAAGCCGGCCGAUACUGUCGGACUAGAGUCCGGAAGAGGCAAGUGGAAUUCCCGGUGUAGCGGUGAAAUGCGCAGAUAUCGGGAGGAACACCAAUGGCGAAAGCAGCUCUCUGGGACGGUACUGACGCUGAGGCGCGAAAGCGUGGGGAGCGAACAGG
rnacentral:rRNA from 1 species